rnacentral:lncRNA from 10 species
UAUCCAUCUUCAGCUCCACUCUGAGGGCGCAGACGCACGAUUCCGGGAUCGGGUGCACCACGGCGAAGCCCAGGCGGGAGACGGCAGGAGCAGCUCAGGUAACCAGGGGAAGCUUGCGUGCCCACGGAGAUGCAGCCGUGGAGCUGUGAGGAAAGACGGUCUGGCUUCAGAAUUUAAAAAAAAAAAAUAGAAAAAAAAAAAAAAAA